rnacentral:lncRNA from 1 species
GCGUGCCCCCCAGCCGCUGCGAGUGCAGGGACGCGGGGGGGCAGAGCUGGGUGCCGGGGAGCCGCCGGAUCGACGCCUGCACCAACUGCACCUGCACCGGGGGGCGUCUGCGCUGCACCCCCGCGGGCUGCCCCCCCGAACCCUGCCCAUGGAGCCGCUGGAGCCGCUGGGCGCCCUGCAGUGUCACCUGCGGGGAGGGACGGCAGGCCCGCUUCAGGACCCCCACCCCAGAGACGGGGGACGGCGAGUGCGAGGGGCCCCAGGAGGAGAGCCGGGGGUGCUCGGGGGGGCCCUGCCCACCCCUCUGCCUGCAGGGGGGCAGCGAGCGGCAGCUGGGCGAGAGCUGGCCCCAGGGCGAGUGCCAGCGAUGGUCAGUGCCGGGGGGAGCCGGGGGGCUGGGGGGGGUGUGUGUGUGAUCUGCACCCCCAAACCCACCCACCGUGUCCCCCCACCCACAGCACCUGCACCCCCGAGGGCACCCAGUGCCAGGACAUCCCCUGUGCCGGGUCGGGGGGCUGCGUGUGGGGUGCCUGGACCCCCUGCUCCCGCUCCUGUGGCACCGGCCUGGCCACCCGGGAGGCUGCCUGUCACCACAGCCACGGUGACGGUGACAGUGAUGGUGCCGGUGAUGGUGACGGUGAUGGUGAUGGUGCCAGCCAGGAGCUACACCGUGAGGCGCGGGUGUGUUAUCUGCGCCCCUGCCCAGGUAAGGUGUCGGGGUGGGUUGGGGGGGGGCUGGAUGGGGUCCCUGCCC